UUGGACGCUGGCGGCAUGCUUUACACAUGCCAGUCGCACGGCAGCGCGGGCUUCGGCCUGGCGGCGAGUGGCGAACGGGUGAGUAAUACAUCGGAACGUGCCCAGUAGUGGGGGAUAGCUCGGCGAAAGCCGGAUUAAUACCGCAUACGACCUGAGGGUGAAAGCGGGGGAUCUUCGGACCUAGCGCUAUUGGAGCGGCCGAUGGCAGAUUAGCUAGUUGGUGGGGUAAAGGCCUACCAAGGCGACGAUCUGUAGCUGGUCUGAGAGGACGACCAGCCACACUGGGACUGAGACACGGCCCAGACUCCUACGGGAGGCAGCAGUGGGGAAUUUUGGACAAUGGGCGAAAGCCUGAUCCAGCAAUGCCGCGUGUGUGAUGAAGGCCUUCGGGUUGUAAAGCACUUUUGGCGGGAACGAAAAGGACUGUGCCAAUACCACGGUUCGAUGACGGUACCCGCAGAAUAAGCACCGGCUAACUACGUG
rnacentral:rRNA from 1 species